UAACCUGCCCAAGAGAUCGGGAUAACACCUGGAAACAGAUGCUAAUACCGGAUAACAACAGAUGAUGCCUAUCAACUGUUUAAAAGAUGGUUCUGCUAUCACUCUUGGAUGGACCUGCGGUGCAUUAGCUAGUUGGUAGGGUAACGGCCUACCAAGGCGAUGAUGCAUAGCCGAGUUGAGAGACUGAUCGGCCACAUUUGGGACUGAGACACGGCCCAAACUCCUACGGGAGGCAGCAGUU
rnacentral:rRNA from 1 species